GUUCGGCCAAAAUAGAAUUAAAUUAGAUUUGUAUUUUGAUACAAUUCAAAUAUAAAUUGAAUUUGGGUUAUGCUUGUCCUUGAUCUAACUCCAGACGCUUGUAGUCCUACCUGCAUUUUGCAAUUUACACGUUCAACUUUUUGAAUGUAGAUUAUGUUUAAAGUGUUCCAGCACAAGGAAGCAACAAGAUGCAUUGCAACACCCAUCGCAGAGUAGCACUCCUGUUGGCUGCUCAUUCAACUGAUGUCUGAACUACAGAAAAUAGCCUCCAAAUACCACCACAAAAUAAUUUGAACAGUCUCAGCUAAUCUCCUCGCC
rnacentral:lncRNA from 1 species